rnacentral:sRNA from 1 species
CUCAAAAAGAUUUAAAAAUUAUUACUUACAUGCUAUUAUGAGAGCCCCAUAAAUCUAUACAGUGCCAAAGUUCAGAAAUGUAAAACACUAGAAGUAUUUAAAUUAAAAUUUUCUUAAUCAGUGGAUAUUCAUAUCAUUUGCAUAGAUUAUAUCUGUUAACUCUGUCCGAAUAGCUAUUGAACUGAAUGAAAUUACUUCAGAAUAAUUUGAAAUGUGCUGGUGCUUUGAGUAUUGUUUUUAUUGAGAACAAUUCUGGUAUUUUAACCUUAGGUGCUCUUCCAGCUAUGAAUUAGAAAAAUAAUAUUCUUUAUAUAAAAGAAAUAAGCACUUUUCAGUAAGAUUCUUAACUUCAGAAGGAUUCGUUAUGAAACACCUUUAUGAUCCAACUGAGAUUAUCUUUUAACUAAAUCUUUUUUGGCUCGUGUAACUGUAAUACAAUAUUUUUCUGCCAAAAUAUUUUUCUGCCAAGAUCAUUAGAUAAAUUUCACCUGCUUUCAAAAUUGUGAGUCAUUUGACACACACAUGAGUGUAAGCAACAUAUAUAUAUAUUAAGUAUCUAUGUAGUACAAUCUAACAUUGCCCAGACCACAGAAACUUCAUGGUACCCUGCUGUUAUUGUCCUAUGUCCAUUUCUUUCCUCCUCAGACCCUCCUUCUAGGGUCUCCUACAGCAUGUACUUCCUAACAAGCAUCUUUAAGAUCCUUUCAGAGACUCAUAAGAACUCACUUCUCCUCUCCUGUCAUCUGCCUGUUGUCUAUGGGCACCCGCCUGGCUAAUGGGUAUGUCUGAUCUGUCUGUCCCUAACAGGGCUUUGCUCUGUCCCUCUUUCACAGUUCACAAGCCAUGAUAUAGGAAAUGGAUAAAGUAUACUUGCUAUAGAAAAUUUUAACAAGGUUUUAUGAGUGAAGAAAUGACUUUAUUGACCCUAGCUGAUGUAGAAUACCAUGCUCACUCUAAACCAGAUAUUAUCAAACUAUAUCCACACAUUGCUUACCACAUUUAUGGGAUAUUUAUUUUGUUUAAGGUUGCUUUAAAUCUAUUGGCUGCUUUCAGCAAAUGAUUGCCACAGUAAAGGCAUGUAUGUUCGUGCACAUGCACACACACACACACACACACACACACACACACACACACAAUUCUGUCAAGGGCGUGAACUUAAGAUCAAAGCUGUGCUAUGAAUUUAGCUUAGGUUAUAAAGCUGAUUACAUGGGAGAUCCAAAGCACAGUAAAGUAGCUCUCACUGUUCUCUUAAAGGCAGGUUAAAUUUAAACAGGCUGAGUAUACAGCAUGUUGAGAACUGGAUACACAGUCUCAAAUGACCUCAAGGAAUAUUAACCUGGCUGCAAGGUCCAGCAAAAUUCCAGACUCUUUGUGGUCAGGAGGUAUUUUCAGGAAAGUUCACCACCACAAAAUCCCACCACUAACUGAGGAGCUGUUAGGAUUUGAUGGCUGCGGGUAGAGUAAAGAUAGAGUCUUAUCCUGGACCAAAGUGGGCCUUGAACUUAUAAAGAUCUCACCUCCACCUCUCAAAUCCUGGCCGUACAGAUGUGCAUCACUGAACAAAUGUGCACCACUAAGGCCCUUCCUCACAGAUUAGGAAGUCCAUGCUUCACAUGUAAAUAAAUUCCCUUUUGAUCUCUGGUUUUA